GAUGAACGCUGGCGGCGUGCCUAAUACAUGCAAGUCGAGCGAACAGACGAGGAGCUUGCUCCUCUGACGUUAGCGGCGGACGGGUGAGUAACACGUGGAUAACCCACUUAUAUGUCUGGGAUAAUUUCGGGAAACCGGAGCUAAUACCGGAUAAUAUACUGAACCGCAGGGUUCAAUAGUGAAAGACGGUUUUGCUGUCACUUAUAGAUGGUUCCGCGCUGCAUUAGCUAGUUGGUAAGGUAACGGCUUACCAAGGCAACGAUGCGUAGCCGACCUGAGAGGGUGAUCGGCCACACUGGAACUGGGACACGGUCCAGGCUCCUACGGGAGGCAGCAGUAGGGAAUCUUCGGCAAUGGGCGAAAGCCUGACGCAGCAACGCCGCGUGAGUGAUGAAGGUCUUCGGAUCGUAAAACUCUGUUAUUAGGGAAGAACAAAUGUGUAAUUAACUAUGCACGUCUUGACGGUACCUAAUCAGAAAGCCACGGCUAACUACGUG
rnacentral:rRNA from 1 species